rnacentral:misc_RNA from 1 species
GAUGAAGAACGCAGCGAAAUGCGAUAAGUAAUGUGAAUUGCAGAAUUCCGUGAAUCAUCGAAUCUUUGAACGCAUAUUGCGCCCUCUGGUAUUCCGGGGGGCAUGCCUGUCCGAGCGUCAUUGCUGCCCUCAAGCCCGGCUUGUGUGUUGGGUCUCGUCCCCCUUCCCGGGGGGACGGGCCCGAAAGGCAGCGGCGGCACCGCGUCCGGUCCUCGAGCGUAUGGGGCUUUGUCACCCGCUCUGUAGGCCCGGCCGGCGCUUGCCGAUCAACCAAAACUUUUUUCCAGGUUGACCUCGGAUCAGGUAGGGAUACCCGCUGAACUUAAGCAUAUCAAUAAGCGGAGGA